rnacentral:rRNA from 1 species
ACGCACGCUGGCGGCAUGCCUCACACAUGCCAGUCGAACGAGACCUUCGGGUCUAGUGGCGCACGGGUGCGUAACGCGUGGGAAUCUGCCCUUGGGUUCGGAAUAACAGUUGGAAACGACUGCUAAUACCGGAUGAUGACGUAAGUCCAAAGAUUUAUCGCCCAGGGAUGAGCCCGCGUAGGAUUAGCUAGUUGGUGGGGUAAAGGCCUACCAAGGCGACGAUCCUUAGCUGGUCUGAGAGGAUGAUCAGCCACACUGGGACUGAGACACGGCCCAGACUCCUACGGGAGGCAGCAGUGGGGAAUAUUGGACAAUGGGCGAAAGCCUGAUCCAGCAAUGCCGCGUGAGUGAUGAAGGCCUUAGGGUUGUAAAGCUCUUUUACCCGGGAUGAUAAUGACAGUACCGGGAGAAUAAGCCCCGGCUAACUCCGUG